rnacentral:lncRNA from 1 species
CAGCAUGGCACUAGAGUGUACUAUGGUAUUUAUACGCACACAGAUAAUCCGCAAGCGCACGGAUACUGUUGAAGCUUUUACCCGGUUAAAGGUUUUAUCGUAUCCACAGGGAAACGGGAGAACUAACUACGCUCUAACUUAACCAAGAUAAAUAGAUAAGUGUAAAUAGGAAAGAUGGUAGAAUUGAAUAAGAACAAUAUUAAAGGUAAGAUAACAGUGAGUGAUAAUAUGGGAAUAGAGAAUAGAGCAAUUCUAGUAUAUGGGCGAUGGUAGCAGAAUAGAGUAUAACUAUGGUUUCUCUACUUCAAAGGGGUAUGUCUAUGUCUGGGACGAACCACGUGAUAACAGUACACCACAAAGGAUGCUUAUCCUUAGGCCGAUAAGCCCUACCCGUCCUGCUAACGAGAGGUGGACUACAGAGGACCAACGUAACUGUCACCUACGCGGCCUACCACACGAUCCAGCUAGACAGGGGAUAUCCACAAGUAAUCUAGAUCUAAGCACCUCGCUUACACCUAUACUACAACUCUCACCUAUAGCGUCCUAUAGAUUAAAGUACUCAAAAGAGUUGUGAACCAGAACAUACAUGAUUAGUAAUUGCAUAAUGAAUUAGAAGUAGAUUACCAGAGUCAUCCCAUGAGCAAGCUUGAUUAGAGCUUGAUCAUGACGAAGUACAACCGGAGGAAGAACCGACAAGACGGCCUCUCCUCUAAUCCUCCUUCGCUCUCCAUCUUGCUACUAUCUAGAUCUAGUCUAGUUUAGAGAAGAGAGGAGAGCUCUCAUCUCUAAACCCUAGCUUUUGCUCUGUCUAUGAAUAAUGAAUAAUGAUCAAGGGGUGCCUCCUCCAGGGGCCAGGGGAUCAAACCGACAUUGAUCGUGUGGUUUUCCUUGAAGUAUUAGGUCGGUGGAGCAUGAUCCGCGAAGUUGAAGCUGAUUGGUUACUGUAGCUGGGCAGGCACCCAAGGGACUUGGGCGGGCGCCCUGCCCCCGGGCCCGAUCGGCCUCCCGUUCGUUCCCGUGGCUUCUAGAGUCUUCUAGAUGGUAGAAAAUUGCGCGGCACGUUAAUAUCUCUAUGUAAACCCGACGUGUGGGCCUUUCUUUCAUAUUUCCUGAUAACCCUCUGCAGAAAUAGACAAACACCAAAACUCAUGGAAUUCUGUCUGAUAAAACCCUAAGUCUAGAUGUUGAUUUCAUUUGGAUCCUUUUCUUUGUUUAUUUGAUAAUUAAAUUUGAUACUUAAGGACCGUCAACAAACUCCCCCAAGCUUACCUCUUGCUCGUCCCUGAGCAAGGAUAGACUCAGCAAUGGAUCAGAAGUUGUUGCAAUAUCUUAAAUAUUUGAUGGUACACAUGCUUUUAAAUAAGAUCUCAUCUCUGAGUUAGAGUAAACUGUCAAGAACUAAAACUUACUUACUUUACCUUUCACCAUGGGACUUGUAACCGUCACUUCUGUCUUGAGUAGUUAAAAGAUAGAACAGUCUAGCCAAGUGCCAUGUCUCUUAUUCUUGAUCAGCUAUAGAUCUGGAGUUUUUUGCACAUUUUCAAAUAAAACUCAGAGAUUCCUUGUAUGACUCUCUAAAUCUCUCUUUUGUGGUAUUUCUGGAUCCUUACCAAGGCAGUGAUGGUAUAUGCCUUCUCUCAAGAUAUGUGGUAUUUGUGGUAUAAGGCAUAGUGACAUUGCCUUCUCUCUCACCCUACUCUAAUAAGGCUUUAAUAUCUGGAGCUCAUAGGUGGGAGACAGCUAAUACAUACUUACAAGACAUUUAUUGCAUAGUCAAACCAUGGAUCCAGAGAAACAAGUCAAUAAGUCAAAUCAAGAUAUCCAUGUGUGGCGAAUGAAUGGUGUAUGGUGAUGAUGGUGAUAACAAUGGUGGAAGUCUAAUUCUACUUUUGCUCUUUUGAGGGGAUACAUACCUUCCUUGCUUUUUGAAACUUUAUGAGGAGAAUGAGAUGCUCUAUCUUUCAUUUUUCUUUCGUCUCAGGUGGGUAUCCUGUACCCCUAAUUCUACUGUCGGACACUUGUCCAUUUUUACCUCUCGUCUCACUCUUUUUUCUUUUCUUUCGAGGUUCCGGGCACUUCCCCUUUUUAUUUCCUCGUUUAUUUAUUUUUUUUCUUUUCUUCUCUUUUCUUUUUUUUCAGAGCACUCAUCUCUUGAGAUAAUAUAGCAAGUGGUAGUAGCAAGAUAACUUGAGCAUUUAUUUCACAAGGGAAAACAGAAAUAUUUUUGGCUAUUCUCUUCCGGAUUAGGAGUAGAAUAUUUUUGGGUGGUUCUGGAGAUGGACAUGGAUGGAUAUAUAUGGAUGGUACUUCCGGAGUAGAAGUAGCAUAUAUGAGUGAACGUGCAAGUGAAUCUUGAUUUAACCACAUGACAAGCUCCUAAGGGUCUACACAGCUUGACCACACUCAAUGCUCAUAAGCAGUAAAUCAUAAAUGUGUGGCUCAAAGUCUAGCAAGCAUGUAUAUAUGGCUGUGGUAUUAAACUCUCAUCAUACAGGAACUCAUCAUGCAAUAUUUUAAAGAUUUUUCAAAGAUAAAAUUCUCCAGAAUUCUAGCAUCUCUAGGAACAGAUAAACAGCAGCUCAACCUUCCCAUAUCAUAUCUGUUAACAACUUAGAUUUUAGAUCAAGUUUUCAUCCCACAAGUUUAGAUCUAGAGCAAGCUUUAAAUUAUAACAGUUAUGUCUAAACUUGAGAGAGAACUUCAAAUUUGCAAAUUAGGCAGAGCAACUAUUCAUCAUAUCCAUGCUAGAGUUUUAUUAUUAAGAUUUAGAUUAGCAUAGCCACUUUAUUUAUUAAACACACUAAGCAAAAGAUAUAUAUAUAAACACAAAAUCUUUAUUUGGUUUUUCAUAGUUUAUGUAUUUUAAUAUUCUAAUAUAAUAUAAGUAUAAAGAUAGGUAGAAAUACUUAGCGAGAUAAAUGGGGGUGCUCUUCCCCCAAGCUAAAUUUUGACGUAAUUUCUCUUGAUGUAGCUAGCAGGUGGCAGAGUUGUAUUUGAAAGUCAGCAGCAUUCUGACAGCGAUUACAAUGUCCUCCGUCUGCUAGUCUUCUUGAUUCUUAAAUUCUGUGGAGCUCAAAUAGACAACAAAGCUUGUGGAACUAAUUAAGUGUUAGCAUAAAUAUCUAGCCUUCAUCAUGUUGAGCUUCCUCAAUAAAUAUUACUCCCUGUUUUUAUAUUUUUAUUUUCUAAAGCAGAGAAGAAAUAUUUAUUUUAUUUUUAUGCCACCACAGUGAAGGUACUUAUGGGUUUUUAUGCCACUCGUAUACUCACAUGGGGCUUAGUAUUUUUUAACAUUUUUAUUUUCUUUUCAAGAUAGCAUGAUUAACUAAUAAUCUAUUUAAGGAAAGUAAAUAAUUAAAGGGAAAAGGGAAUGCAGAAAGGAUAAAUAUGGAUAACUACCGAUCUUACCUUUCGGCGAUGGUUCAAUGUUUUUAAGUCUUCUUAACAAGACUUCUCACCGUGUUCAUUUUUCAGGUGCGUCAUUUGAUUCAGGUGCGGACCUUGACGUCUGCACCUCUUCAUUUGCCCAGCAGUUCGAAGUGCGGCGUUGGCAGUAUCCUGCUCAGUGUGUUUGUGCUCGUAGAUCCAGGUCCUUUACUUGGUAAAGUCUGAGAGUUAUAAAACUCCUCCGUGUUUUGCUCGAAGUGUACCUACUCAUAGAGACAAGGCAGAGAUCAAGUGCAUGGGUCCUCUUGGUGGAGAACACCAACAGAACCUAAAGUGUAUUUGUUCUUCUCUAACCCUAAGCAUAGUGAGCAAGACAAAGUUGAUGGAUGAAAAGUUCAUGAGUGUAGCACUUAUAACAUUUGUCAGAUCAGAUCGCUCAACCUUAUGGAAAGAUAAUCUAUCUAUGUAUAUGUCUUUUUCUUUAUAUCUCUCAAAGAUUGAAUGUGUAACAUUUUAGCUCAUAUGAUUAGGAGUGUAGGAUUAUGGAGGCAGUACUAAGAACAAGGAUUAAAGGACUAAACAUGUUGAAUCAGUUGGGUUGGUUAAUCUAGAGUUGUAAAUCAUACAUGUUUGACUCUUUUAUUUAUAUGAACGCCAGAACCAAGGAGAAGCUUAUAAAAGUGAUAGUCAAGUACCUUAAGAUGUUACCUUGCUUGAAGAGUGAUGGUACAGUAUCACCUUGUGGAAGCUUUCCUUUCUUAGCGGUUGUGCAUCGUGUUUGUGGCACCCUCCAUGGAUCAUCUCUCUAUGAUGAAUGAGCUAUGUCCUUCUUGUGCAAAUUAUUAAACUUCAUGUGUCACUCUCUUCGUCUCUGAUGUGAGUUUAUUUCAGGACUUCCCAAAUCGAUAUUGAAAAUUUUUUCUGCAGGGGUUAGUCCGUCAAAAAUAUACCAAUGUCUACACAAGCAGUUUUUAGUUCAAUAACCGAACUAGACUCCAUGUCUAAUCAGAUUAAGGAAGGCUGUUUAACCUAAGCACCAUGCUUAAUUUAAAAGCCAAUAGAAGUAUGUGCAGUACUUCCAAACUAACACUUACUAGUAAAUAGACAAAGGUAACAUGACAGCAUUUAUAGAGAUCUACUCAAGUGGAGAUGAAGUAGUGUGAUUAGUAUUUAACAAUUUGAGCAUGUCUUAAAUGUAGGGACAACCAACAUAGCAACAUGGCAAAGGAUGUUUUUAUGUAAAGUACUCCCCCAAGCUUGAAUUCUGCAGAAUUCAAGUUUGGAUGAAUUUAAUUCAGUGUUGCAUGAUGAUUGGUUGGACAUACCUUGUACUUGCUUGUCAUUCAUCUGAUCUUCUUGUUCCAAUCCUGGAAAGGUUAUUGACAAGAAUACCCAAAGGAAUAUUUUUUUUACAAUUAUCCUUAUAUGCUCAAUACACCAGGUAAUAUUGUAAAUAAUUAAAAGCUCAUGUUAUGAUCUGAUCGGUGCUUAUUUUAAGACACUAAGCUUGUCCUUGGGAAACCAUCAAUUUAUGUCGGCGAAGUGGUUUCUCUUCCAACGCUGACCUAAAUCAAGAUCAACUCAACGAGAUCUGCAAUAUUUAUUAUAGACAUAUGCAUCGACAACCGCCCCUUUAAAGUUUUUGUAAAUAGAAAGGAAGAGGGGGUUGGAGAUCUCAAAUGUGGUAAUGUUGGAGAGACCAAUAGAUUGGGAAGAUGUUUCAUAUGAGCAUGGAGUAAAUGAAGUGGUUAUGAAAUAAAUUCUAUGCUCAUUAAUGUUAUCUUCGUCUCCAAUAUGAAUGUUCGGAGUUUCUCCUAGAUUGGUCUCACCUAUGUCCUCUUCUGUAGUUGGAUGAACCUCAUCUUCAAAGGAGUCAAUAACUCACCAUUUGAGAUUGAGCCAAAGUCAGAAUCUAUUAAGGCUUCUUCGUUAUCCAUCCAUUCUACACAUUCUAGCCAUUUAGAACUUGUGAUCAAGACAGGGGAGGUGUUAGGAUUUUCUAUAUGGCUUAGCUCUCCUUCUAUGACAUUACUUGACAUGUCAUCCUCAUGGUCUUUAUGACUCCUAUGGUUUGAUAGUCUUGAUGGAUUUUUAGGAUCAUCAUGAGACUUAAAAGGAGAGGGAUAAGAGGGGUCUCUAAGGUAAAGGAUGGAUUUAGAAUUUGUGAACAUGGAAGGGGAGCAGAUAGAAUUUUCUAUAUAGUUUAGCUCUCCUUCACUUGAUAUGUCAUCCUCAACUUCUUCAUAACAGGAACCAGGACAUUCUCUAAGCGAACCAUUGUUGCGAGGAUUUGAAUUAUCCCUGCUUGAAGGUCUCUUAUGGAACCAGAAGUCUAAACCAUCAGCAUCUGAAAGAUUUAAGGUCGGAAUUCCUUCCUCCCUUGGAGAAUUUUGGGGUAUUGACGGUUUAGGAUCGAUAGCUAAAGUUUGAAAUUGAAGUGGUUGUGAUCUGGCUAUCGAAACUUCUUCUUCUUGUCUAGGAACUGGUUCUGUCGCUUUCUCAGGGAUAUAAAAGCUAGGAGACUUCCCACUUAAUAAAUCAAUCAAAUUCCAAGCUUCACUAGCAGGUAGGUGAUAGAAGGAUCCUCUAGAGGCUGUAUUCAAGGUUUGCUUAUUUUCCCUACUAAGGCCCUCAAAAAAGUGAAUUAGAAGAACUUCUUCUGGAAUAGAAAGCUUUGGGCCAGUGAGAGUAAGGUUAAUAAAGCGGUCCCAUGAUUUCCUAAGAGAUUCUUCUUUCAGUUGUCUAAAAGAAACAAUCUCACACCGAAGUUCCGCCACUUUGGAGAUUGAAAAAUAUUUAGAAAGAAAACUACUAUAUAACUCCUUCCAAUCUCUAUGAACACUCCCUACUUUGAGUUUGUACCAAUGUCUAGCUUUUCCCGUUAAAGAGAACGGAAAGAGCUUCCAUUUGAGGGUCUCAUCGGACAUUCCUUCUAUGCGAAGGAGGUCACAGACUCGAUAAAACUCUCUUAGGUGUGUGUAUGGGUUUUCCUCACCUUCUCCUAAGAAAGGUUGUUUUUGAACAAAUUCUAUGUAUUCGGGGUCUAUCUCAAAACUAGAUGCUAUGAUAGGCUUUGAAGAUUUUGGUGGUUCGAGAUGUGUGCCCGUAGGUCUAUGAAAUUCAUAGAUAGACAUGUUUGAAUUCAUGAUAGACCAGAGAUCAAGGAUUAGAUAAAAAGAAAGAACAGCAGAGAUAAGGCAAAAGAUAAAAGGAAAAGUAUAUAUAUAUAUAUUUUUAAUAAUUUUUUUUAGAAAAUGAUUAAGCUAGUUCGUAGUCAACUCAGCAACCAUUUCCCCGGCAACGGCGCCAAAAAUGCUUGUUGACACUUGCUAACACCACUUGAAUACUAGGUUGUCAUCCCCAGCAUGGCACUAGAGUGUACUAUGGUAUUUAUACGCACACAGAUAAUCCGCAAGCGCACGGAUACCGUUGAAGCUUUUACCCGGUUAAAGGUUUUAUCGUAUCCACAGGGAAAUGGGAGAACUAACUACGCUCUAACUUAACCAAGAUAAAUAGAUAAGUGUAAAUAGGAAAGAUGGUAGAAUUGAAUAAGAACAAUAUUAAAGGUAAGAUAAUAGUGAGUGAUAAUAUGGGAAUAGAGAAUAGAGCAAUUCUAGUAUAUGGGCGAUGGU